rnacentral:rRNA from 1 species
AUUGAACGCUAGCGGGAUGCUUUACACAUGCAAGACGACCGAGUGGCGGACGGGUGAGUAAUAUAUCGGAACGAGCCCAGUAGCGGGGGAUAACUACUCGAAAGAGUGGCUAAUACCGAAUACGAUUGGCGCCGCUGAUAUCGGAUUAGCUAGUUGGUGGUGUAAAGGCUAACAUAGGCAACGAUCCGUAGCUGGUUUGAGAGGUCGAACAGCCACACUGGUACGUAGACACGGCCCAGACUCCGACGGGAUGUAUCAGUUGGGAAUUUUGGACAAUGGGGGAAACCCUGAUCCAGCCAGCCCUCGUGUAUGAGAAGGCCUUCGGUUUGUAAAGUACUUUUGGCAUAGAAGCGGUAUCUGCAGAAUAAGCACCGGCUAACGACGUGCCAGCAGCCGCGGUAAUAC